GUUAUUCAAGCAUAAUAUCAUCACAAAGCAUAUGGUAACAUCCCACAGCUUUCAUGGUUCAGAUGUUUUAGACCAAUAGUAAUAAUUUAUACUGCUGAUAUAUGUAGGUGCUCAAUGCUCACAAACGAGUUCUAUUUAAAGGGUAGCGUAUAUUGUUGCCAUGCUGGUAUAAAUAUAUGCUACAUGGUAGUGUUGUUUUGGUAAGUGAGUACAAUCUUAGGAGUCCUGG